rnacentral:tRNA from 1 species
GGGCCGUUAGCUCAGUUGGUAGAGCGUCUGGCUGGCAGUCAGAAGGUCAUCGGUUCGAGACCGAUACGGUCCA